rnacentral:rRNA from 1 species
UACGUAGGGUGCGAGCGUUGUCCGGAAUUCUUGGGCGUACAGAGCUCGUCGGCGGUCUGUCGCGUCGAUCGUGAAAACUUGGGGCUUAACCCUGAGCUUGCGGUCGAUACGGGCAUGACUGGAGUUCGGCAGGGGAGACUGGAAUUCCUGGUGUAGCGGUGAAAUGCGCAGAUAUCAGGAGGAACACCGGUGGCGAAGGCGGGUCUCUGGGCAGAUACUGACGCUGAGGAGCGAAAGCGUGGGGAGCGAAAAGG